AAGUGUUCUUGGUCCAUUACUCGAUAUGGCUCGAAUCACGCUGGCGGCGUGCCUAGACAUGUUUUUCUAGCGAGAAAAGGGGAGCAAUCCUCUGAGUAAAGCGUCUCACGGGUGAGUAACACGUGGGUAAUCUGCCCUGGAGUGGGGAAUAACACCGGGAAACCGGUGCUAAUACCGCAUACGAUAACGAUGUCUGCGGACGUUGUUAUGAAAGGAGCAAUUCGCUCUAGGAGGAGCCCGCGGCUGAUUAGCUAGUUGGUGAGGUAAUGGCUCACCAAGGCAACGAUCAGUAUCCGGUCUGAGAGGACGGUCGGACACACUGGAACUGAGACACGGUCCAGACUCCUACGGGAGGCAGCAGUGGGGAAUUUUUGGCAAUGGGGGAAACCCUGACCAAGCAACGCCGCGUGGGUGAUGAAGUCUCUUGGGACGUAAAACCCUUUCGACAGGGAAGAAACCCGCAAGGGUUGACGGUACCUGUAGAAGAAGCCCCGGCUAACUCCGUGCCAGCAGCCGCGGUAAUACGGGGGGGGCAAGCGUUGUUCGGAAUUACUGGGCGUAAAGGGCGCGUAGGCGGUUCGCUAAGUCGGAUGUGAAAACUCUGGGCUCAACCCAGAGCCUGCAUCCGAAACUGACGGGCUAGAGUUCUGGAGGGGGUAG
rnacentral:rRNA from 1 species